rnacentral:rRNA from 1 species
UACGUAGGGGGCAAGCGUUACUCGGAUUUACUGGGCGUAAAGCGCGUGUAGGCGGCUGGUCAAGCGUGAUGUGAAAUCUCCGGGCUCAACCCGGAAACUGCAUCGCGAACUGGCCUGGCUAGAGUGCAGGAGAGGGCGGCGGAAUUCCCCGGUGUAGCGGUGAAAUGCGUAGAUAUCGGGAGGAACACCAGUGGCGAAGGCGGCCGCCUGGCCCUGUAAACUGACGCUGAGACGCCGAAAAGCGUGGGGGAGCGA